rnacentral:ncRNA from 2 species
UAUUUUUGUCUGGGGAGCUGGGGUGAUAGCCCGGCUGAGAGUUAGCAGCUAUUUCUGCUAUGACCCAUAAACCUGAUCUGGAUAAUGCCGGUGUAGGGAGUACAUUGGACUUUAAGU